CUCUUAGGGUACGUCUACACUUACCGGAGGGGCCGGCGGCAGGCAAUCGAUGUUCUGGGAUCGAUUUAUCGCGUCUGGUUUAGACGUGAUAAAUCGAUCCCGGAAGUGCUCGCCGUCGACGCCGGUACUCCAGCUUGGCGAAAGGAGUACGCAGCAUCGACGGGGGAGCCUCCCUGCCGCAUCUGGACCCGCGGUAAGUUUGGACUAAGGUACUUCGAAUUCAGCUACGUUAUUAACGUAGCUGAAUUUGCGUACCUUAGUCCGAAGUGGGGAGUUAGUAGGGACCAGGCCUUAGGCUGUAAUAUUUGCAGCAUUAAUUGAUGGAAUGGUGACAAGAUGUCAUAAAGAGAAGCCACUGCUAAAUUCAGGAAGGGGGCUAAAAGGUCAUCCCUGCUGUCCUCAAUAUACUAAAGCCAUGGCUGUAUAAACCCCAGGAAAUACACUCGCCAUUUUAUGCAAGGAGAUUCUCCCUCAGCUCCUGGUAAAAUGUCACUGUUUUAAAGGUUAAUACAACUGAAACAUCCCAAGGGCUUGGUGAAAAAAGUGAUAGGACCAGAAAGUCAAUUUAGUGAUGGCCAACAGAUUAAAUUAAAAUGUUUUCAUUAUGGUGUAUUUCUGAGAAAAACAGACGAAAAAGUUUGAUUGAAUCUAGUUAGUUUCAAAGGUAGUUCGAGUCACAUUUGUAUUAAGGGAAAUGCAUCCACCUAGAACACUCUGUGGGACUUGUCUCCUGUCCCUAGUGAACAAGAGUUUGCAUAUCCCUUUGUCUCCUGUAUAUAAUGUAAAAUAGGCCUAGUGGUAAGCCCUACUGCCCCCGCCCACCAAUGUGAUCGCUUGUGUAUCUUACUGAUCACAGAGUGUUUUACACGCUUCAGUCAGCCUCACUUUUAACUCCACACACAGAGGACUCUGGCCUUACAGAGAGACUCUUCCCAGAAGAGAGGGCACAUGCAAGGACCUGUGCCUGUUCACUUCCACAAAAGGGCAAUGGAGCCAGACCUCCACACCCCAUACGCACAGCACUGAUAUUCUGCUCUGACCUUAAGAGAGAAAACAGGCUACUGCCAGGGGGCCGGCCAGUCAUUCUGCCAGCUCACCAUUCGGGCCAUAAGAUAACCCCCUUUAUACUCCCCCUCUUCCAGAUGCCCACAAGUCACCCAACUAUUAGGGGUUUUUUCCCCCCAGGAAGUGGGAAUUUACUUUACACAUACAAGCUGCCCACUGACUUCCAUGGGACUCCUUAUAUACAAAUUGAAUGUUCAACUUUAGGUGACCCAGCCCUUCCCACUACCUGAAGAGAUUCCCUAAGGUGUGAUUGCUGAGAUGUCCGUCUUUUCCUCUGACCUCACCCCUUUCCCUCAGAAAAUCUUCAAGGGCUGUUUUCAUUCCACGCUGGGGCAUCUUUAACAUAAAGCACUGAUUUAAUCAGAAAUAUUUUAGAAAUAUCCCAGAAUACAAAACUCUGGAAAGCUUUUAGUUUUAAUGAGAAGAACAUUUUCUUAUGAAUACAACUUUUAUAACUGUUUUAAGCCUGGACACUGACCUUUUCCCCCACCUAAACGCUGCCACUCCUGCACAAUCACCAUUUAUAGGGAAAAAAAUAUUUUAACUAGUAUUUAUAGGAUACUCUUCAUCCAUCUUACAAGUACUCUUUAGGCAGGAUUUCUUUUAAGCUUCAUUAGGAAACAGUGUGUUUGCUUAUGUGACAUAUAGCUAAAAAAUCUGAAAUAGCUGGGACAUUGAAGAGUUUAAAUAUACAACGUCUACAAAGUUUAAUGUUAAAUAUAAACCAGAAGGUAUCAGACUUUCAUAUGAAACAGACACUUGUGGCACCAGCCCUUGCAGGAGAAGUGGAGUGAAGUUUGCAAAUCAUGUAACAUAAGUGUCCUCAACAAACCAGCCUUAUACAGAUUCUAAAUAAUGUUCAGUAUUCAUGAAGAAAUGCCUCUUUGGUUUUAUACACUGGCUUUUCUGGUAAGUGAAGCAAAAUUACAUCCUUAAGAAUUUCACUUGUACAUGCACUGUGGAAACAAUUGCACAGUUUUAAAGUGGUUUUUUUUGGUCUUAUAUAAGCCGUGUUGGAUAGUUGAACUGACCUUGUAGACAGUUUGCAGCUAUUUUUUGGUCCAGUGCGAAGAGGAUGGAGCUAGGUUGUUUUCAGUGGUGGCAGAUGACAGAACAAGAAGCAAUGGUCUCAAGUUGCAGUGGGGGAGGUCUAGGUUGGCUACUAGGAAACACUAUUUCACUAGGAGGGUGGUGAAGCACUGGAAUGGGUUACCUAGGGAGAUGGUGGAAUCUCCUUCCUUAGAGGUUUUUAAGGCCCGGCUUGACAAAGCCCUGGCUGGGAUGAUUUAGUUGGGGUUGGUCCUGCUUUGAGCAGGGGGUUGGACUAGAUGACCGCCUGAGGUCCCUUCCAACCCUGAUAUUCUAUGAAAUCAGAGUCAAACUGUCAGGAUAAUGCACCAACACCAAAGAAAAUCAACUGAACAACAGUCUUGAAAAUGCUUUAUUGAACGGUGUGUCUUAUUGUAAUGUGCAGAAGAUGUGUUUGAAAAGACUACAGCUUGAAAAUUGGUUCUGAAAAUCCUCAACAAUCAAUAAAAAAAAUCCCUCCCGGGGGUAACUCCUAGUA
ensembl:lncRNA